UUAGAGUUUGAUCAUGGCUCAGGACGAACGCUGGCGGCAGGCCUAACACAUGCAAGUCGAACGGCAGCACAGCAGUAGCAAUACUGUGGGUGGCGAGUGGCGGACGGGUGAGGAAUACAUGGGAAUCUACCCUGUCGUGGGGGAUAACGUAGGGAAACUUACGCUAAUACCGCAUACGACCGAGAGGUGAAAGCGGCGGACCGCAAGGCGUCGCGCGACUGGAUGAGCCCAUGUCGGAUUAGCUAGUUGGCGGGGUAAAGGCCCACCAAGGCGACGAUCCGUAGCUGGUCUGAGAGGAUGAUCAGCCACACUGGAACUGAGACACGGUCCAGACUCCUACGGGAGGCAGCAGUGGGGAAUAUUGGACAAUGGGCGCAAGCCUGAUCCAGCCAUGCCGCGUGGGUGAAGAAGGCCUUCGGGUUGUAAAGCCCUUUUGUCCGGAAAGAAAAGCUUCGGGUUAAUACCCCGGGGUCCUGACGGUACCGGAAGAAUAAGCACCGGCUAACUUCGUGCCAGCAGCCGCGGUACGCC
rnacentral:rRNA from 1 species